rnacentral:rRNA from 1 species
GAUGAACGCUGGCGGCGUGCCUAAUACAUGCAAGUCGAGCGAACAGACGAGAAGCUUGCUCCUCUGACGUUAGCGGCGGACGGGUGAGUAACACGUGGAUAACCUACCUAUAAGACUGGGAUAACUUCGGGAAACCGGAGCUAAUACCGGAUAAUAUAUUGAACCGCAUGGUUCAAUAGUGAAAGACGGUUUUGCUGUCACUUAUAGAUGGAUCCGCGCUGCAUUAGCUAGUUGGUAAGGUAACGGCUUACCAAGGCAACGAUGCGUAGCCGACCUGAGAGGGUGAUCGGCCACACUGGAACUGAGACACGGUCCAGACUCCUACGGGAGGCAGCAGUAGGGAAUCUUCCGCAAUGGGCGAAAGCCUGACGGAGCAACGCCGCGUGAGUGAUGAAGGUCUUCGGAUCGUAAAACUCUGUUAUUAGGGAAGAACAAAUGUGUAAGUAACUGUGCACGUCUUGACGGUACCUAAUCAGAAAGCCACGGCUAACUACGUG